rnacentral:rRNA from 1 species
CCUACGGGAGGCUGCAGUGGGGAAUAUUGGGCAAUGGGCGCAAGCCUGACCCAGCAACGCCGCGUGAAGGAAGAAGGCCCUCGGGUUGUAAACUUCUUUUGUCAGGGACGAAGCAAGUGACGGUACCUGACGAAUAAGCCACGGCUAACUACGUGCCAGCAGCCGCGGUAAUACGUAGGUGGCGAGCGUUAUCCGGAAUCAUUGGGCGUAAAGAGGGAGCAGGCGGCCUGGAGGGUCUAUUGUUAAAAGGCAAUGGCUUAACCAUUGUAAGGCGAAGAAACCGGCAGGCUAGAGUUCUAAAGAGGAUCGUGGAAUUCCAUGUGUAGCGGUGAAAUGCGUAGAUAUAUGGAGGAACACCAGUGGCGAAGGCGACGAUCUGGGAAGAAACAGACGCUGAGUCCCGAAAGCGUGGGGAGCAAAUAGGAUUAGAUACCCCAGUAGUC